GAUGAACGCUAGCGAUAGGCUUAACACAUGCAAGUCGAGGGACCGGCGGAUUGGUGAGUAACGCGUAUGCAACUUGCCUCUUAGUGGGGGAUAACCCGGAGAAAUCCGUACUAAUACCGCAUACUAAGAGAUAGGCAUGCGUUCCAUUAGUUAGUUGGUGAGGUAACGGCUCACCAAGGCAUCGAUGGAUAGGGGAGCUGAGAGGCGGAUCCCCCACAUUGUGACUGAGACACUGCCCAAACUCCUACUGGAGGCAGCAGUGAGGGAUAUUGGGCAAUGGAGGAUACUCUGAACCAGCCAAGUCGCGUGAAGGAUGACGGUCUAUGGAUUGUAAACUUCGUUAGUAGGCGAGAAAGUAGCCGAAGAAUAAGUACCGGCUAACUCCGUGCCAGCAGCCGCGGUAAUUC
rnacentral:rRNA from 1 species